AUUGAACGCUGGCGGCAGGCCUAACACAUGCAAGUCGAACGGUAACAGGAAGAAGCUUGCUUCUUUGCUGACGAGUGGCGGACGGGUGAGUAAUGUCUGGGAAACUGCCUGAUGGAGGGGGAUAACUACUGGAAACGGUAGCUAAUACCGCAUAACGUCGCCAGACCAAAGAGGGGGACCUUCGGGCCUCUGGCCAUCGGAUGUGCCCAGGUGGGAUUCGCUAGUCGGUGGGGUAACGGCUCACCUAGGCGACGAGCCCUAGCUGGUGUGAGAGGAUGACCGGCCACACUGGAACUUGGCCGCGGUCCAUGCUCCUGCGGGAGGGAGCAGUGGGGAAUAUUGCGCAAUGGGGGCAAGCCUGAUGCAGCCAGGCCGCGUGUAUGAAGAAGGCCUUCGGGUUGUAAAGUACGUUCAGCGGGGAGGAAGGGAGUAAAGUUAAUACCUUGGCUCAUUGACGUUACCCGCAGAAGAAGCACCGGCUAACUCCGUG
rnacentral:rRNA from 1 species